AUUUCAAUGCCUCUGGUUAUAUUUUGCUUACUUGUCUGUUUUGUUGAUUAGGUUCCACUUAAAGGUGAGAUCAUAAGGUAUUUGUCCCUCACCACCUGGCUUAUUUCACUUAGCAUAAUGUUUGAUCAUUGAGUAAGUGCUUUUCUAACUUAGCUGAAUUCCCAGCUAAGUAGUACUCACAUUUCCAUGUGUGUAAGAAGCAUCUUGCCUGUCUAUUGAUAUGCAGAUUCUAGCAUCCUUCCUCUACCCUGUUCUGAUUUAGUGUAUUUGAGGUCAGGCCCAAUAUAUAUUUUCUUUACCUACCAACACAUAGUGUUGUAGGACAGCUAGUAGAACUGUAUUUUUCUGAAGAUAGAAUAGAAAUGGCAUGCAUGCUUAUGUCUGGACAAGAAAUAUGAGGUGAUUUGUUGAAAGUUUUCAUUUCUUUGAAAUUAAUGUUCUACCUGAAAAAAAUGAAUCUUAUAGUUUUCUUUAACCUCUACCAAAAAUUCAGGUUAAACUCCAAUAAAUUAAAUUUCCACUUAGCCAUGGGGUAUAUUUUUCAUGAAAAUAAACUUAUUUAAUAUGAAAAAGAUUGUUAAAAUGUAUGUUAUAGUGGGGCAAAGUGUUGUUAUGAUUGAUAAUAUACAUUGCAUGAUCCAACUCUUAUAUGAAAUGUUUGUAUGCAAAGAUCUUCCUCACUGACUUUGAACAUUGUAGAUUAAGGGAAGGGAGCAGCUAAAAGAGCAAAUUAGAUAUUUCUUCCCAAGGGGUACAUGCACUAUUUAUAGAAAAAAAUAGGAAAAUUAUAUCUAUGUUACAUCUAUUUGGCAAAAUAUUUUAUUUAUGUGAAAAAUGAUUUGAAAAAUAUUUUCUUAAAAUACUGUACUAGUAAUAAGUUUAUAUUUAUCUUAUAAAUUUUAUUUGUAUAUACUUAAAUAUCGGUAAACUAUCUGUUAGGGAGAUAAUCUCUACCAUUUUAUAAUUCACUUAUUGAAACACCAUGAAUACUAACAAUUUACCACAGGCCAAAACGCUAGAUGUUUGUACGGACAGCAAAUAACAAGAGAGGAAUUUAUGUGCACUAAUGUUUGUUUUGAAUAUUAUCCAAGAGUCCUGGGUGAGAUGUUGGAUACAGUAGCCUCUGUAUAAAUGUGCUUGUUUGAGUAUCUAGUUGGAACUCUGGAUUUGCCCUUAAUAAAAUCUCAGUGGAAAAAAACCCUCUUUUUUGCAACUAUGAAUAGGAAAUAACAGGAAGAUGUCCAGCGAAUUGUUCGACCUCUGGAGGCUGAUUAAUUAAAUAGUUUUAUUAUCAUCUAAUAAAAGAUUCCCAGUAUGCUGUUUGCCGUUUCGUGUUCUGAAAGCAUAACAAAAACGGAAAAUAAGGUUGAAGCAAAAGUGGGUUUACAGUUGUCCAUAUGAAAAUAAUAUAAUAAUUAAUAGUAAAAGAAUGAACUCCGUAUUUCACGUACUCACAACUGUAAACCUACUUCUGCCCCACCCUCUGUUAUUUGUUGCAUCUCCUGUCCUGUGCAGGUGGUAUCAUGUGUCGUUGGUCUGUCGGUGAAUCCUGUGCUCAGGUGCCAGGCAGAAAUCCUGAUGACAUCUGGAGAGCACACGUCUUAA